ensembl:lncRNA
GUCAAAACUUUUUGAAGUCAGACUUUUACCUUCCCUCUUCUUUCAAGCAGUCAACACAGGGAAUGACAGGAAUGUAACUGGGACACCUGGACCUGGACCUAAGAAAUGUCUGAAAUGAUCUCUAUAAAGAUCCAGAUCCCUGUGAAACAGACAGAGAAACUGCAGCAUAGUAAAAGUAGCCUCUAUCCCUGACUGUCAGCAUGUGAAGAGCUUCUCCAGGGAAGAUCCUGAGCUGAGUUUGAUUGUGAUGAGAAGAGAUCUUAAUUUCUAGAGGCAUCUGAAAUCCAGAGGAGAAAAGCAUAAGAAAAACCACAGUUGAAAAAUAAAGCCUUACAACAUUCACUCUUGUUUUAGCCA